AGGUAUUGCCGAGAUCGUUCGCGACCCGGUCGAGGAACUCGACCAUGUUGUCGGAUCGGCCGUCGAAGAUCGCU
rnacentral:sRNA from 1 species